AGUCACAUGAUGUACAUGUGACUGUGCAGUGUGCACUGUCUGGAGGAGCAAGGCAAGCUGUCAUCAUGAGAAGAGUAGCAGCCAGCCUGUAGCAGCCUGUAGCUCUAGCAACAAGCCACAGAAGAGCUGAGACAGACGCACCUGUGAUGGGUUUAUAAAUUCAUUUGAGCAACUGCCAUUUUGUGCAUCACGAGAUGAAAAGAAAGAAAGAAAGAAAGAAAGAAAGAAAGAAAGAAAGAAAGAAAGAAAGAAAGAAAGAAAGAAAGAAAGAAAGAAAGAAAGAAAGAAAGAAAGAUUAACGUUAAUCUAGUGGCUCCCCUAUCGCACUAAUGGAUAGAAAGUACCCCGCGCCAACACUGGAAUGCUGAAUAACACAGGACCACUGAUUGUUGCCUGGAAAUAAAACACACUGUUCGCCGCUGAUGUAUGGGGUUGAGGAAAAGUGAUCGUUCUUCUAGGUAUAGGUGGCACCAUUUGAUCUCAGUUACAGGACACAGCAAAGGGAGAACAUUCAAUACUUUAAAUGUUCUUUAAAUUGCUUUUGUUGUUUGAACAUUUUUUUUCUAAGCAUUUUAUCACACAGUCACUGAGGAAUGUGGAAAGGGAAAGUUAAGUCCUAUGUAUUUUUUACAUUUGGUCAUGAUAACUGUCUGCCACAUAAAUUACU